rnacentral:lncRNA from 1 species
GUGUGUAUUGUGAUUUAACUAAGGAAGAUGUGAACUAUAAUGCAAUUAUGAGUGAGAAACUUAUACUAAAUGCAAAAUGACCUGGAUGCAAUCUACGAGAAUUUAUGGAAUUAAUGAAAUACUAACGCACUAGGAUCACGAAUUCCCAAGCAACACCUGUUCAACUUUUAAUUAUGCAAAUUUGACACACACUCCCACAAUUGAUGAAUCAAUAUUCCUAUUUUAAUUUAGUAAUCUCUCUCGAGCAAUACCAAACCUACCCCAAUAUGUGAUUCGACUAUCUCUAUGACGAAUACUAACAUACAAGAACGCAUGUAAUUUCAUGAAUAUUCAACGAUUCACACGAGGUAUAGAGGUAUAUAUCUAUCUCCUAUCGGACCCUAUGAUGAUUUAUACCAUGUCAAGCCUAUUUUCCUUCUCUCGAAUGCAUAAAACAGGCCACCAAAAUCAUAUAAUUACGUGUACAAUUAUAAUAUGGGAAUAAAAAUGUAUAAAUCAUUCAAUUUCGAAACAUGUGCUUAAAUAUGUCAAAUCUCCAAAUCAAAAAUCAAAACUUGUAUUGCAAGGUUUAUCGAUCUCCUGGUACGUGAAAAAUCUAGCCUAACA